GAUGAACGCUGGCGGCGUGCUUAACACAUGCAAGUCGAACGGCGAAGCCAAGCUUGCUUGGUGGAUCAGUGGCGAACGGGUGAGUAACACGUGAGCAACCUGCCCUGGACUCUGGGAUAAGCGCUGGAAACGGCGUCUAAUACUGGAUAUGAGCUCUCAUCGCAUGGUGGGGGUUGGAAAGAUUUUUCGGUCUGGGAUGGGCUCGCGGCCUAUCAGCUUGUUGGUGAGGUAAUGGCUCACCAAGGCGUCGACGGGUAGCCGGCCUGAGAGGGUGACCGGCCACACUGGGACUGAGACACGGCCCAGACUCCUACGGGAGGCAGCAGUGGGGAAUAUUGCACAAUGGGCGGAAGCCUGAUGCAGCAACGCCGCGUGAGGGAUGACGGCCUUCGGGUUGUAAACCUCUUUUAGCAGGGAAGAAGCGAGAGUGACGGUACCUGCAGAAAAAGCGCCGGCUAACUACGUGCCAGCAGCCGCGGUAAUACGUAGGGCGCAAGCGUUAUCCGGAAUUAUUGGGCGUAAAGAGCUCGUAGGCGGUUUGUCGCGUCUGCUGUGAAAUCCCGAGGCUCAACCUCGGGCCUGCAGUGGGUACGGGCAGACUAGAGUGCGGUAGGGGAGAUUGGAAUUCCUGGUGUAGCGGUGGAAUGCGCAGAUAUCAGGAGGAACACCGAUGGCGAAGGCAGAUCUCUGGGCCGUAACUGACGCUGAGGAGCGAAAGGGUGGGGAGCAAACAGGCUUAGAUACCCUGGUAGUCCACCCCGUAAACGUUGGGAACUAGUUGUGGGGACCAUUCCACGGUUUCCGUGACGCAGCUAACGCAUUAAGUUCCCCGCCUGGGGAGUACGGCCGCAAGGCUAAAACUCAAAGGAAUUGACGGGGACCCGCACAAGCGGCGGAGCAUGCGGAUUAAUUCGAUGCAACGCGAAGAACCUUACCAAGGCUUGACAUACACCAGAACACCGUAGAAAUACGGGACUCUUUGGACACUGGUGAACAGGUGGUGCAUGGUUGUCGUCAGCUCGUGUCGUGAGAUGUUGGGUUAAGUCCCGCAACGAGCGCAACCCUCGUUCUAUGUUGCCAGCACGUAAUGGUGGGAACUCAUGGGAUACUGCCGGGGUCAACUCGGAGGAAGGUGGGGAUGACGUCAAAUCAUCAUGCCCCUUAUGUCUUGGGCUUCACGCAUGCUACAAUGGCCGGUACAAAGGGCUGCAAUACCGUGAGGUGGAGCGAAUCCCAAAAAGCCGGUCCCAGUUCGGAUUGAGGUCUGCAACUCGACCUCAUGAAGUCGGAGUCGCUAGUAAUCGCAGAUCAGCAACGCUGCGGUGAAUACGUUCCCGGGUC
rnacentral:rRNA from 1 species